GGAGGCGGCGGGCACACUCCGAGCUUUGGGCUGGGCGGCUCCGCUUCCCUCGACCGCAGGCUUCGCUCGAGCCCAGCGCUCUCCAGAAGGGCUCGACCCUCCGGCGCGUUCGUCCUAUUUCCCUGGGGGCUCCCAAGCCCGCAGCCUCCCCCCUCGCGUUGGCCGGCCCUAGACCGCGACCCCCGGCCACGCCCGGAGCCAGGCCUGCGGCUGCGAGCCCGCGGGAGGGGCGGGGCGCGGGCGGCCCCCGGCGGCGGCGUUGGCGCUCAGGCUGCGGCGCGAGGCAGGCCGGCCGGCCGGCAGAGGGAGGCGGGGGGCGCCGGGCAGCCCCGCCUUUUCCCCGAGGAGGCGCCGAGCGGCCAUAUUGCGGAGCUGUCUGCGGUGGCGGCGGCGCCUCUCGUCUCCCGCGGCCCAGCGCUCGCACCACCGCGUCUCCCUCCCUGCCGCAGCCGCGCCGCCGCGCAGCGCCCCAGCCACACGCCGGCGGGCAGAAGUCGCCCGCUCUCCGGAAAGUGACAACAUAAUUCAUAGAAGUGAAGAAUUUUUAAAGAAGGUAACAAAAAGAGAAAGAAAAUGCCAAAACCAAUCAACGUAAGAGUAACUACAAUGGAUGCUGAGCUGGAAUUUGCCAUUCAGCCCAAUACAACUGGCAAACAACUUUUUGACCAGGUGGUGAAAACUGUUGGUUUGCGUGAGGUCUGGUUUUUUGGGCUGCAGUAUGUAGACAGCAAAGGUUAUUCUACAUGGCUUAAACUAAAUAAAAAGGUGACACAGCAAGAUGUUAAAAAAGAGAAUCCUUUACAGUUCAAGUUUAGAGCUAAAUUCUUUCCUGAAGAUGUUUCUGAGGAAUUAAUUCAAGAAAUAACCCAGAGACUCUUCUUCUUGCAAGUUAAAGAAGCCAUCUUAAAUGAUGAGAUAUAUUGCCCACCAGAAACUGCAGUUCUUUUGGCUUCCUAUGCUGUCCAAGCCAAGUAUGGAGAUUAUAAUAAAGAGAUUCAUAAGCCAGGCUACCUGGCUAAUGAUAGACUCCUACCCCAGCGUGUAUUGGAACAACACAAACUAACAAAAGAACAGUGGGAAGAAAGAAUACAGAACUGGCAUGAAGAACAUAGAGGAAUGUUAAGGGAGGAUUCUAUGAUGGAAUACCUGAAGAUUGCACAAGAUCUAGAAAUGUAUGGAGUCAACUAUUUUGAAAUAAAAAAUAAAAAGGGAACUGAAUUGUGGCUAGGUGUUGAUGCCUUGGGUCUGAAUAUUUAUGAGCAUGAUGACAAGUUAACACCUAAAAUUGGUUUUCCCUGGAGUGAAAUCAGAAAUAUUUCAUUUAAUGACAAAAAAUUUGUUAUAAAGCCAAUCGACAAAAAGGCACCUGAUUUUGUUUUUUAUGCACCUCGUCUGAGAAUCAAUAAGCGGAUUUUGGCCUUAUGUAUGGGAAACCAUGAACUAUACAUGCGAAGAAGGAAGCCUGAUACUAUUGAAGUUCAACAGAUGAAGGCUCAGGCUAGGGAGGAGAAACAUCAGAAGCAGUUGGAAAGGGCACAAUUAGAGAAUGAAAAGAAGAAAAGAGAAAUAGCAGAAAAGGAAAAGGAAAGAAUAGAACGUGAAAAGGAAGAGCUAAUGGAACGUCUGAAGCAAAUUGAAGAACAGACAAUUAAAGCCCAGAAAGAACUAGAAGAACAGACUCGAAAAGCUCUAGAACUGGAUCAAGAACGAAAACGAGCAAAAGAAGAAGCAGAACGGCUUGAAAAAGAGCGUCGAGCUGCUGAAGAGGCGAAGUCUGCCAUAGCAAAACAAGCUGCCGACCAGAUGAAGAAUCAGGAGCAGCUAGCAGCAGAACUUGCUGAAUUCACUGCCAAGAUUGCACUUCUAGAAGAAGCCAAGAAGAAAAAGGAAGAGGAAGCUACUGAAUGGCAACACAAAGCUUUUGCAGCCCAGGAAGACUUGGAAAAGACCAAAGAAGAGUUAAAAACUGUGAUGUCUGCCCCUCCUCCACCUCCACCACCACCAGUCAUUCCUCCAACAGAAAACGAACAUGAUGAACAUGAUGAGAAUAAUGCUGAGGCUAGUGCUGAAUUAUCAAAUGAAGGGGUAAUGAACCAUAGAAGCGAGGAAGAACGUGUAACAGAAACACAGAAAAAUGAGCGUGUUAAGAAGCAACUUCAGGCAUUAAGUUCAGAAUUAGCCCAAGCCAGAGAUGAAACCAAGAAAACACAAAAUGAUGUUCUUCAUGCUGAGAAUGUUAAAGCAGGCCGUGAUAAGUACAAGACUCUGCGACAGAUUCGACAAGGCAAUACAAAGCAGCGUAUCGAUGAGUUUGAAGCAAUGUGGGGACCCAAACUGUAUGCAUUGUUCCAGAUGCGCUCUUGCCAAAGCAGCAUAAAGCAAAUGUAACCCUUAGGAAGAAGGCUCCCUCCCUCACUAGAGCAAAUCCUUUGAGUGAGUUUGACUCUGAGCUAUUGUCGUCAGAAGCAGGAAAAGAAAGCUUCUGCAUGAAAAGUCAAGAUCUAAUGACAGAAAGAGAUUUUGAAUUAUCUAGCCAUGAAUUUAUGAAGGGAUCUGCAGAACUGGUGAUUGCCACAUCCUCCAGCUUGAGGCCUCUGGCUACUGACAUACGGGCAGCUUUAGGAUAAGGACAUACCUGGUGUUCUGAAUGUGUGUAUCCCCCAAAGUCUGCAAUCUCAGCUGGAACUGGAUGGACCAGUAUUCCCUCACCCAGGGCCCUGGCUCAUGUUUCUCUCCUCUUCUCAGUUUACUGUUGGACUUCCCUUUCUUGCUAUUCUCUUUCUCUCCAAACCCCUCUCAAUUGCCUUUCCUAAAGACAGACCUUAGCAAGAUGGCCCGGGACUUGGGACUUCGCACGGCACCCUGCAGUCCCAAGCCACCAUCUACUGCACCCCAUCUUCAAGACUCUAUCCCCCAAACAGAUGCUGGAAGGCAUCAGCUUCUGAGAACCCACUUCUUUCUGCAUGACUAGCUUGUAUGGAAGAAUCUAUGGAGAGGAUUUCCAAGAAUUUCCCACUUUUUCAAAAAAUGUAUGUGACUUAUAUUUGGCUUCAAUCCAAGAGCAAACUCAGUGGUGAACAGCUCCAUUUCUGUGCACAUGUUGGUGGAAUCUACAGAAA